UGAUCCAGACUUUGAUUCUGGCUCAGGACGAACGCUGGCGGCGCGCCUAACACAUGCAAGUCGAACGAGAGAUGAGGAGCUUGCUCUUCAAAUCGAGUGGCGAACGGGUGAGUAACGCGUGAGGAACCUGCCUCAAGGAGGGGGACAACAGUUGGAAACGACUGCUAAUACCGCAUAAGCCCACGGCUCGGCAUCGAGCAGAGGGAAAAGGAGUGAUCCGCUUUGAGAUGGCCUCGCGUCCGAUUAGCUAGUUGGUGAGGUAACGGCCCACCGAGGCAACGAUCGGUAGCCGGACUGAGAGGUUGAACGGCCACAUUGGGACUGAGACACGGCCCAGACUCCUACGGGAGGCAGCAGUGGGGAAUAUUGCACAAUGGGGGAAACCCUGAUGCAGCGACGCCGCGUGGAGGAAGAAGGUCUUCGGAUUGUAAACUCCUGUUGUUGAGGAAGAUAAUGACGGUACUCAACAAGGAAGUGACGGCUAACUACGUGCCAGCAGCCGCGGUAAAACGUAGGUCACAAGCGUUGUCCGGAAUUACUGGGUGUAAAGGGAGCGCAGGCGGGAGAACAAGUUGGAAGUGAAAUCCAUGGGCUCAACCCAUGAACUGCUUUCAAAACUGUUUUUCUUGAGUAGUGCAGAGGUAGGCGGAAUUCCCGGUGUAGCGGUGGAAUGCGUAGAUAUCGGGAGGAACACCAGUGGCGAAGGCGGCCUACUGGGCACCAACUGACGCUGAGGCUCGAAAGUGUGGGUAGCAAACAGGAUUAGAUACCCUGGUAGUCCACACCGUAAACGAUGAUUACUAGGUGUUGGAGGAUUGACCCCUUCAGUGCCGCAGUUAACACAAUAAGUAAUCCACCUGGGGAGUACGACCGCAAGGUUGCAACUCAAAUGAAUUGACGGA
rnacentral:rRNA from 1 species